UCUGUUCCUAUUGCUAACGGUUUUCAAUUGGCCAGGAUCCUGCAAAUCAGAAUGGUGGCAAGUGGAUAAUUAGAUUCAAAAGGCACUUUUCAGCAUGACCAUCAACUCGAAUGAGCGAUUCUAAGUCUGGACAGUGACCGUAGUUGACCAUCUACUCUCCUAGCCAGUUCAUGCAGGUGUCCGUCAACGACCAAUCCUAUGCAUGAUCAUCAACUCGAAUGAGCGAUUCUAAGUCUGGGCAGUGACCACAGUUGACCAUCUACUAUGCUAGCCAGUCCAUGCAGGUGUCCAUCAACGACCAAUCC